AGGGAGUGAACUCUAGCCCCGCAGUAAACAUUGUGCAUGGAUACCAAUAAUUGUGACAUUAUAAUCGGGACACAACAAUGCAAUGUGUAGAUGAGCUCAAAUUCAGUCAAUGGAAAGCAUUACAUCUAGAAUUGAUUAUUUAGCAGACUGUGUAAGAGUGGCAUUUAAAGAAAUUAGAUAUUUAAUAUCAAAUCCAGUCACUACAAAUUUCCAUGUCAAAAAUGGUUAAUUCCCCAUUACAUUACAUUCCUUUACCAAAGAACUUUAGU